GACGAACGCUGGCGGCGUGCUUAACACAUGCAAGUCGAACGAAGAGCGAUGGAACCUUGCUUCUAUCAAUCUUAGUGGCGAACGGGUGAGUAACGCGUAAUCAACCUGCCCUUCAGAGGGGGACAACAGUUGGAAACGACUGCUAAUACCGCAUACGAUCUAAACUCGGCAUCGAGGAUAGAUGAAAGGUGGCCUCUACAUGUAAGCUAUCACUGAAGGAGGGGAUUGCGUCUGAUUAGCUAGUUGGAGGGGUAACGGCUCACCAAGGCGAUGAUCAGUAGCCGGUCGGAGAGGAUGGACGGCCGCCUUGAGACGGAGACACGGCCCAGACGCCUACAGGAGGCAGCAGUAGGGAAACUGCCGGAAUGAGCGAGAGACUGACGGAGCAGCGCCGCGUGAGGAAGGACGACCGUCGGGUUGUAAAGCUCUGUUAAUCGGGACGAAAGGCCUUCUUGCGAAUAGUGAGAAGGAUUGACGGUACCGGAAUAGAAAGCCACGGCUAACUACGUG
rnacentral:rRNA from 1 species